GUGGUUUUAUAUUCCAACAUUUUUUACUCGUUUUCACAUAGUGUAGUUGUAAUAUAUUCAGGAGGUAUUUGCUACGCUCACGUGAAUUGCUGAGUUUACGCGAUGAGCAGUUUAAUCACGUUAACACCGAAUUGAGUAGACAAUUUAAUGUUCAAUUAUAAUUUUAAUUAUAUUUGGUCACCACUGCAUUCACUCUGGAUUAAAUUAAUUCCAACAGAAUAAACAAUAAUUGAAGCUUUAAUGACUAUCUCAAAUAUUUGACGUUGUUCUACUACUAACGCAGAGAGAAGACCUACCUGCAACGCAAGGGAUGAAAUACGACCAGAGCAUUGAUUGCAUCGCAGCGUGGUGCAGAAUUGUUUGCCUUCGGCCCAAAUCGCAUCGAAUUCUGGUAUUGACGUCAAAGCGAAUUUUGGACAUUCAAUCACUGUACACAUUUAUCAGAGUUUGCUAUAAAAAUAAAAAAGGAUAGAUUUUUCA